rnacentral:rRNA from 1 species
AUUGAACGCUGGCGGCGUGCUUAACACAUGCAAGUCGUGCGGUAACAGGCGUAGCAAUACGUGCUGACGAGCGGCGAACGGGUGCGUAAUACAUGGGAAUCUGCCCUUUAGUGGGGAAUAACCCGGCGAAAGCCGGGCUAAUGCCGCAUAAGAUCUUCGGAUGAAAGCGGGGGAUCGUAAGACCUCGCGCUGUUGGAUGAGCCCAUGUCGGAUUAGCUAGNGGUGAGGUAACGGCUCACCAAGGCGACGAUCCGUAGCUGGUCUGAGAGGACGGCCAGCCACACUGGGACUGAGACACGGCCCAGACUCCUACGGGAGGCAGCAGUGGGGAAUCUUGCGCAAUGGGCGAAAGCCUGACGCAGCGACGCCGCGUGAGGGAUGACGGCC